CGACCUCAGAUCAGGCGGGACUACCCGCCGGAUUUAAGCAUAUUAAUAAGCGGAGGAAAAGAAAACAACCGUGAUUCCCUUAGUAGCGGCGAGCGAACCGGGAAAAGCCCAUCGCCGAAUCUCGCCGCGCACUUUUUGUGUCGCGGCACGUAUGAGAGUUGUGGCGUACGGGCCGGCCUCGUUGCCGGGGCGCACGUGACGGUCCAAGUCUCCCUUGAACGGGGCCAUGGCCCGCAGAUGGUGCCAGGCCAGUAGAGGCCGUCACAGCGUUCCGGGAUCGGACCGCGCCUUCGAGUCGGGUUGCUUGAGAGUGCAGCCCGAAGCGGGUGGUAAACUCCAUCUAAGGCUAAAUACGGCCACGAGACCGAUAGUUUACAAGUACCGUGAGGGAAAGUUGAAAAGAACUUUGAAGAGAGAGUUCAUAAGAACGUGAAACCGCUCGGUUGUAAACGGACAGAGCUCGCGAAUCCCCGCCGGGCGAAUUCACGGUCGGUCUAACCGCCGGCCGGAUCUUUCGCUCGGUUAGCGGACGUCGCGACCCGUUGGGCGCCGGCCGAAUGGCCCGGGUGACGUUCGUCGCGUCGGUCGCGUUUCGGCGUGACCGUUCGCGCCGAGCCCCGGUGCUCAUGGUCGGCUCGCCCGACGGCAAGAACCGUCGACGCGGCCCCGUCGCAGGCGGGGUCCCGUCGGUCGGCGACGUGUUUCGAGCUACUUUCCGACCCGUCUUGAAACACGGACCAAGGAGUCUAACGUGUGCGCGAGUCAACGGUGAUCUUACGAAAAACCACGUUUGGCGCAAUGAAAGUGAACCGUUUACGGUGCGGACGAUGGCCUAGCGACCGAACCCACCGGCGUUCAAAGUCGCGCUGGUCCGCAGUCCGGGGGCGUCUCCGCCAAGUCGGCUUCGGCCGGCUGGGGGCGCACCCUUAGCGCACACGUUGGUACCCGAAAGAUGGUGAACUAUGCCUGGCCAGGAUGAAGUCAGGGGAAACCCUGAUGGAAGGUCCGCAGCGAUUCUGACGUGCAAAUCGAUCGUCUGAGCUGGGUAAUAGGGGCGAAAGACUAAUCGAACCAUCUAGUAACCUGGUUCCAUCCGAAGUUUCCC
rfam:Acyrthosiphon pisum strain LSR1 Contig6443, whole genome shotgun sequence.